rnacentral:rRNA from 1 species
UGGGGAGUAUUGGACAAUGGGGAGGACCCUGAUCCAGCGACGCCGCGUGAGUGAAGAAGUAUUUCGGUAUGUAAAGCUCUAUCAGCAGGGAAGAAAGAAAUGACGGUACCUGAGUAAGAAGCCCCGGCUAACUACGUGCCAGCAGCCGCGGUAAUACGUAGGGGGCAAGCGUUAUCCGGAAUUACUGGGUGUAAAGGGAGCGUAGACGGUAAAGCAAGUCUGGAGUGAAAGGCUGGGGCCCAACCCCGGGCACUGCUCUGGAAACUGAUUAAUACUGGAGUGCAGGAGAGGCAGGCGAAUUCCUAGUGUAGCGGUGAAAUGCGUAGAUAUUAGGAGGAACACCAGUGGCGAAGGCGGCCUGCUGGACUGUAACUGACGUUGAGGCUCGAAAGCGUGGGGAGCAAACAGGAUUAGAUACCC